AGUCGAGCGGUAGAGAGAAGCUUGCUUUUCUUGAGAGCGGCGGACGGGUGAGUAAUGCCUAGGAAUCUGCCUGGUAGUGGGGGAUAACGUUCGGAAACGGACGCUAAUACCGCAUACGUCCUACGGGAGAAAGCAGGGGACCUUCGGGCCUUGCGCUAUCAGAUGAGCCUAGGUCGGAUUAGCUAGUUGGUGGGGUAAUGGCUCACCAAGGCGACGAUCCGUAACUGGUCUGAGAGGAUGAUCAGUCACACUGGAACUGAGACACGGUCCAGACCCCUACGGGAGGCAGCAGUGGGGAAUAUUGGACAAUGGGCGAAAGCCUGAUCCAGCCAUGCCGCGUGUGUGAAGAAGGUCUUCGGAUUGUAAAGCACUUUAAGUUGGGAGGAAGGGCAGUAAAUUAAUACUUUGCUGUUUUGACGUUACCGACAGAAUAAGCACCGGCCAACUCUGUGCCAGCAGCCGCGGUAAUACAGAGGGUGCAAGCGUUAAUCGGAAUUACUGGGCGUAAAGCGCGCGUAGGUGGUUAGUUAAGUUGGAUGUGAAAUCCCCGGGCUCAACCUGGGAACUGCAUUCAAAACUGACUGACUAGAGUAUGGUAGAGGGUGGUG
rnacentral:rRNA from 1 species